rnacentral:rRNA from 1 species
GAUGAACGCUGGCGGCGUGCUUAACACAUGCAAGUCGAACGGAAAGGCCUCUGCUUGCAGGGGUACUCGAGUGGCGAACGGGUGAGUAACACGUGGGUGAUCUGCCCUGCACUUCGGGAUAAGCCUGGGAAACUGGGUCUAAUACCGGAUAGGACAAUGGUUUGGAUGCUGUUGUGGAAAGUUUUUCGGUGUGGGAUGAGCUCGCGGCCUAUCAGCUUGUUGGUGGGGUAAUGGCCUACCAAGGCGUCGACGGGUAGCCGGCCUGAGAGGGUGUACGGCCACAUUGGGACUGAGAUACGGCCCAGACUCCUACGGGAGGCAGCAGUGGGGAAUAUUGCACAAUGGGCGCAAGCCUGAUGCAGCGACGCCGCGUGGGGGAUGACGGCCUUCGGGUUGUAAACUCCUUUCGCUAGGGACGAAGCGUUUUUGUGACGGUACCUGGAGAAGAAGCACCGGCUAACUACGUG